ACGACCUUACUUGAACAGGAUCUGUUCUAUAGGAUCGUACAACUGUAUCCCUGAGUGUAAAGGAGACAGGCAACCACUCUGGUUGAUGACGUAAGAUCUCGAGAUCAGAGCAUGAUUAACGGUUCUGGUCCCUUGGGAUUCCAAGCUGUAGAGGAGUGUUCCUAGCAGAUCAAUGAUCUACUGGGGUGGUCAUGAGAUUGUCUGACAGACA